rnacentral:misc_RNA from 1 species
GAUGAAGAACGUAGCGAAAUGCGAUACUUGGUGUGAAUUGCAGAAUCCCGUGAACCAUCGAGUCUUUGAACGCAAGUUGCGCCCGAAGCCAUUAGGCCGAGGGCACGCCUGCCUGGGCGUCACACGUCGUUGCCCCCCCAUCUACUCCUUCGGGAUUGCGGGGGGCGGAUGAUGGCCUCCCGUGCGCCUCGUCGCGCGGUUGGCCUAAAUGCCAAGUCCUCGGCGACGCACGCCACGACAAUCGGUGGUUGCGAAACCUCGGUUGCCUGUCGUGUGCGGUCGUCGCGCAUCGAGGGCUCGAAAAAAUUGCCGGGCUUCGGCUCGACUUUCAACGCGACCCCAGGUCAGGCGGGGUUACCCGCUGAAUUUAAGCAUAUCAAUAAGCGGAGGA